rnacentral:rRNA from 1 species
AUAUAAGUAACGAUAAAUAAAAUGAAAAAUUUUAUCGCCGUAAGACUAAGGAUUCCUGAUCAACGCUAAUCGAAUCAGGGUAGUCGGGUCCUAAGGUGUAACCCGAGAGGGGCAACCGAUGGGAAACUGGUUAAUAUUCCAGUACCUGCUUAUAUUGCGAUGGGGUGACGAAGUAGUGAAAGUACCGCGGGGUUACGGAAUAUCCCGUUAAAGCGUGUAGACAUUGAUAGAGUAGGCAAAUCCGCUCUUGAGUCGAACGUGAUAGUACUCAAAGUUCUCGAACUGAGAGAUAGUGUGCCUAAUCAGACUUCCUAGAAAAACCUCUAAGCUUCAGAUAUGAGCAGCCCGUACCGUAAACCGACACAGGUAGUCGAGGAGAGUAUCCUAAGGCGCUCGAGUGAGUCACGGCUAAGGAACUCGGCAAAAUGGACCCGUAACUUCGGGAGAAGGGUCGCCCCAGCAAUGGGGCCGCAGUAAAAAGUAUCAGGCGACUGUUUAACAAAAACACAGGGCUCUGCAAAAUCGAAAGAUGAAGUAUAGGGCCUGACACCUGCCCGGUGCUGGAAGGUUAAGGAAGGUUGUUAGCCGCAAGGCAAAGCUUCCGACUGAAGCCCCAGUAAACGGCGGCCGUAACGAUAACGGUCCUAAGGUAGCGAAAUUCCUUGUCGGGUAAGUUCCGACCUGCACGAAUGGUGUAACGAUCUGAUAACUGUCUCAGCCGUGAGCUCGGUGAAAUUGUAGUCCCGGUGAAGAUGCCGGGUACCCGUAACGGGACGGAAAGACCCCGUGAACCUUCACUACAACUUUGCAUUGACUUUGAGUAAACGAUGUGUAGCAUAGGUGGGAGACUAUGAAGCGGGCACGCUAGUGUUCGUGGAGUCAACGUUGAAAUACCACCCUUUGUUUACUUAGAGCCUAACUCCUAAUUGGAGGAAAGUGCAUGGUGGGUAGUUUGACUGGGGUGGUCGCCUCCAAAAGAGUAACGGAGGCUUCCAAAGGUACCCUCAGCACGCUUGGUAACCGUGCGCAGAGUGUAUUAGCAUAAGGGUGCUUGACUGUGAGAUCGACGGAUCGAGCAGGUACGAAAGUAGGGUAAAGUGAUCCGGUGGUUCUGCAUGGAAGGGCCAUCGCUCAAAGGAUAAAAGGUACUCCGGGGAUAACAGGCUGAUCUCCCCCAAGAGCUCAUAUCGACGGGGAGGUUUGGCACCUCGAUGUCGGCUCGUCACAUCCUGGGGCUGGAGAAGGUCCCAAGGGUUGAGCUGUUCGCUCAUUAAAGUGGCACGCGAGCUGGGUUCAGAACGUCGCAAGACAGUUCGGUCCCUAUCUGUUAUGGGCGUUUGAGAUUUGAGAAGAUCUGUUUCUAGUACGAGAGGACCGGAAUGGACUGACCUCUAGUGUACCAGUUAUGUCGCCAGAUGUACCGCUGGGUAGCUACGUUGGGAAUGGAUAAGCGCUGAAAGCAUCUAAGCACGAAACCAACUUCAAGAUGAGAUCUCAUAGGGUCGUCGAAGACUACGACGUUGAUAGGUCAUAGGUGUAAAGGUGGUAACAUCAAAGCCGAGUGAUACUAAUAACCCAUCAA